CAGCACGUAGCUAAGAAAAAAGCCCCUCACUUACACUGAGACGAUACCCGUGAAAGUCGGGUCGCGCUGA
rnacentral:tRNA from 1 species